ACCAUCCUAAGGUAGCGAAAUUCCUUGUCGGGUAAGUUCCGACCUGCACGAAUGGAGUAACGACUUCCCUACUGUCUCAACCAUGAACUCGGCGAAAUUGCAGUACGAGUAAAGAUGCUCGUUUCGCGCAGCAGGACGGAAAGACCCCGUGACCUUUACUAUAGUUUGGUAUUGGUGUUUGGUUUGGCUUGUGUAGGAUAGGUGGGAGACUGUGAAGCAUGGACGCUAGUUUGUGUGGAGUCGUUGUUGAAAUACCACUCUGGUCAAUCUGGAUGUCUAACUUCGGGCCAUGAUCUGGUUCAGGGACAGUGCCUGAUGGGUAGUUUAACUGGGGCGGUUGCCUCCUAAAGUGUAACGGAGGCGCCCAAAGGUUCCCUCAGCCUGGUUGGCAAUCAGGUGUUGAGUGUAAGUGCACAAGGGAGCUUGACUGUGAGACUGGCAGGUCGAGCAGGGACGAAAGUCGGGACUAGUGAUCCGGCGGUACGUUGUGGAACGGCCGUCGCUCAACGGAUAAAAGGUACCUCGGGGAUAACAGGCUGAUCUUGCCCAAGAGUCCAUAUCGACGGCAUGGUUUGGCACCUCGAUGUCGGCUCGUCGCAUCCUGGGGCUGGAGUCGGUCCCAAGGGUUGGGCUGUUCGCCCAUUAAAGCGGUACGCGAGCUGGGUUCAGAACGUCGUGAGACAGUUCGGUCCCUAUCCGCUGCGCGCGUUGGAAAUUUGAGAAAGGCUGUCCUUAGUACGAGAGGACCGGGACGGACGAACCUCUGGUAUGUCAGUUGUACCGCCAGGUGCAUGGCUGAUUGGCUACGUUCGGGAGGGAUAACCGCUGAAAGCAUCUAAGCGGGAAGCCUGUUUCGAGAUGAGAUUUCCUGGCACUUUUUGGUGUGUGAGGCUCCUUAUAGAUGAUGAGGUUGAUAGGCCGGGUAUGGAAGCGAGGACUGAAGACUCGUGGAGUUGACUGGUACUAAUAGGUCGAAGGCUUACUUU
rnacentral:rRNA from 1 species